rnacentral:rRNA from 1 species
AUUGAACGCUGGCGGCAUGCCUAACACAUGCAAGUCGAACGGUAACGACGGGAGCUUGCUCCCGGGCGACGAGUGGCGGACGGGUGAGUAAUACUUAGGAAUCUGCCCAGUAGUGGGGGACAACUCGAGGAAACUCGAGCUAAUACCGCAUACGCCCUACGGGGGAAAGUGGAGGAUCUUCGGACUUCACGCUAUUGGAUGAGCCUAAGUCGGAUUAGCUUGUAGGUAGGGUAACGGCCUACCUAGGCAACGAUCCGUAGCUGGUCUGAGAGGACGAUCAGCCACACUGGAACUGAGACACGGUCCAGACUCCUACGGGAGGCAGCAGUGGGGAAUAUUGGACAAUGGGCGCAAGCCUGAUCCAGCAAUGCCGCGUGUGUGAAGAAGGCCUGCGGGUUGUAAAGCACUUUCAGUAGAGAAGAAAGCUUACGGUUAAUACCUGUGAGUCUUGACGUAACCUACAGAAGAAGCACCGGCUAACUCCGUG